UUGGGUUUAAAGGUAAAUUGUAUAUGUCACUAUAAUAAAAGGGAAAUAUGCAAAGUGUUGGUUGAAUUUAAUAGGAAUUUGGAAUGUUUGACUUGUCACAAGGCCAGUUAGUAUUAUGUGGACUUCUGACAUUGCUCAUAGCAGGAGCACCUCACCCCAUGGUGAGUGCCGGGUCAAGGCCUAGUUGUCACAUGCAUGCAAUUUAAACCAUCUUCAGAAUUAGUCUUAAGUCUUACUAUCACUUAGUAGUAUAAAAUUAGAAACAUGAUCUGAAAAACACUAGAGAGAAAUAGUGAAGUUUUGCACAUCAAAAAGGCUAAUUAGAAACUCUUUUCUUUUAUAACAAAUAAGCCAAGCAUAUUGACAUUAAUUAUAGGAAAUACUCAAGGUUUGGAAUAAUCUAUUGAAGAGCACAGAUGUAUACCAAAUCCUGUGUAAAUGAGUAUGUGCAACUGUUCUUCAGGUAACACAUUUAAUUAUAAAAUAAGCUGUGUGUUCAGGGUUUUUUUAAGGGGUAGAACAUCAUAAAUUAGGUUUCUCUCUCUUCCUUGCUCUUACUCAACACAGUGAGAUAGUUAUAUCUGUUCAUCACAGCCUAACAAGCAUUCCAGGGGCUUGGAGCAGAUUCUUCCUGUACCUGAAGUAGUAGUAGUUCUGUUUGCUUUUGUACUAGUAAUUCUGUAGGUGUUCUGUCAGCUUUACUGGAAUUGGAUCACUGUAACUAGCAGCAGACUUUGUUCUCAGGUGGUAAAAUUCCUUUGGUUUCAAAAAAGCCAAUGGAAUUCAUAACUGCUUUUGUAUUUUUCAAUCUGUGUCCUGGAGCUGACUAGUGGCAUUGGUUUCUUAAAAAAAUACUAUGACUACGAUUUGCUACAUUGCCCAUUAGUUUUGCCAGUAGAGACUUUUAACAACCCUGUGAAGAAAAUUUCACAUAUCCCUUCUUUUACCCUGUCUGGCUGCAAAGAAAUCCUCUUAACUUUUGAUAGCUUUACUUCAUGGGGAAAAGGUUCUUCUCUGUCGUGGCCAUGACAGGUGGGCUCAGCAGGCUGAAUCACUCCUCCUCAAAUGCUCCUUUCAUCUUACUCACUGCCUCCAUACAGAUGAAAGAUGCUGUGCUUUCCAGGUCAAAUCUCAUUAAUGAAUCUCCCAAAUACUUGUCUAAGCAUACUCCUUAAAUUAGAUGAGAUGUCUACCUGCACUGUGGCCAUUGUAGAUUUUCACCCUGCUGGGACUGGUAAACUUCCUGAAGCCUGCUCCACAAUCUCCUCACCAUCCUGCAAAUGCCAGGGUUUAGCACUUUUGCUCUUAGAAACACCCAUCUGCAAGGGCAUAUGUUGGUAGGGAAUUGGUUGCUCUCUCCCAUCACUAGUAGAGAAUAUUGAUGUUGCCAUUGCUGGUUCAACUUCUUUAAUUCUCCUAAUUUUCCUAACAAUUGUCUUAACAUUUCACAGGUGUGUCCAGAGCUACUGUGUCAGCAAAAGUUCUAAAAAGCUCAUGGUGAAGCUCAUGCUUUCACCUCUCAGAUUCAAGCUGAUUAAAGGGUUUGAGGAAAGUGCCGUGGGCAAUGAAGAACAAUGAAGAUCAUUUAGAUGAGCUGCAGCUGAACAGUGAGGAAGAGGUGAUUUCAGAGCUAACUAAGAGUUAACUGGCUACGUUUCAACUGUCACCAUUGUCUUAAAUCUACAUAGAGAGUGGAGAGAGCCAGAGAGGUCAGAGAGAAAUGAAACCCCUUCCUGGACCUUGGAUGAGCGUAAGGGAAAGACCCACUUUCUGAAGCCUCUAGGGAGGAACAUGGCCUCAACAGAGGGAGAAGGAGGUACUUAGCACUUACGAAAUGCAAGCUCAGGGCAGGCUGUGAGGAACAUCUACACUUAGAGAAGUCUUUCUGGAAAGCCAGUGGAAAUCAUUUGCUCAAAUAUUAGUGAUUUGUGAGAUAAUCUAUUAUAGAUUAAUCAUUUCAGUCUUAUGGUACAAUGUCAAAAAUAAAUUUGGGUUAUGAAGCUGGACGGGAGCCACUUGGGGGUCGUGUGUUCUCACCGACACUCCUUAUUUGACUUUGAAAACAGUGUCAUGACGAGAUUUUUGAAGCUGAUUGUUACCCCAUGGAAUCCAAAUCACAAGGAGAACAGAGAGCAGGCACAUCCGUGAAAAGGGUGGCUGGUUGGGAUCAUGUCUGUGAAGCAGCACAGUCACCAAGGAGCAGGUUGGAGAAGAAACAGCACUUUUGUACCCCUGGCAUGAGACAGGGGGGCCCUCAGGAGUCAGGCACCCGCUCUGGUUGGUGGGGUACAAACAAAUCCCAUGGAGAACCAAGAUGCUCCCACAAAGCAUAAAACAUCUCUCCAGCCUUCCUGGGUGCAUGCUCUGCUGUUUGAAAGCUGAGGCCCUUGUCAGGACUGGUUCUUCAGGGGCCUGAGCCCCCUCAGAGCCUUCCUCAACACUGCUCUUCCUCAGGGGCCUUCAGUGGACAAGCUACAGAUUUCAGCUCAACCAGGAAUGGUACAAGCUUGGUCAGGGACUCCAGGCAGUGGCUGGUGGGUUCUGCAAGGCCUAGGGACAGGGGCACUGUGGCUUCCCCAGAAUAUCACAAGCAUAUAGUUGCCAGCGAAGCCCAGGUACACACAGAAUCAAUCUGGAGCUGAAAACAUCCCCGUAGGAAGUGUACACAUCCCUGCUUAUACAGGAACAGAAACAGCAAUAACUUCAGGUCCUGUAAGCUGCAAGUUCAACUCACAGAGAUGAGCCCUGACUUGUCAUCGCUCUCAGCAUGCUGGUGAUGAGAUCAGAGCACUUCAGCAAGGACUCAUACUCCAGCUUGACAAGGGACAGAGGUGAGUGUACUACACCUCACUGUUACUGCCUCUCCUGCCGAAAGGAAUCCUGAGCUCCUCUGUUUAACAUGCAGCCACAGCACUGCCAAUCUAAAAUGGC